rnacentral:lncRNA from 1 species
UAAUCAUAUAAUCCAGGCUUUCUCAGGGAACAUUUUUCAGGGCUAAUUUCUCAAAACUGUAACUAAAUUAUCCAAGACAAAGUCUUAUAUUCCAUGAAUACAUUUCUCGAAAUCAAGAUUUGCAAAUUCAACCAUUAGACACUUUGUGGGAAACCAGCUCAUGUUUAAUUGUGACAUUUUAAAAUUGUACAGGUAUUUUGACAUCUGCCCCCCACAUUUAGUCUCUCAAAAUGACAGGAAAACAACCAAUCACAGGGAGAAAAACAAAGUGUUCCAAUC